AAGGUAGCUUGCUACCUGACCUAGCGGCGGACGGGUGAGUAAUGCUUAGGAAUCUGCCUAUUAGUGGGGGACAACAUUCCGAAAGGAAUGCUAAUACCGCAUACGCCCUACGGGGGAAAGCAGGGGAUCUUCGGACCUUGCGCUAAUAGAUGAGCCUAAGUCAGAUUAGCUAGUUGGUGGGGUAAAGGCCUACCAAGGCGACGAUCUGUAGCGGGUCUGAGAGGAUGAUCCGCCACACUGGGACUGAGACACGGCCCAGACUCCUACGGGAGGCAGCAGUGGGGAAUAUUGGACAAUGGGCGAAAGCCUGAUCCAGCCAUGCCGCGUGUGUGAAGAAGGCCUUUUGGUUGUAAAGCACUUUAAGCGAGGAGGAGGCUACCGAGAUUAAUACUCUAGGAUAGUGGACGUUACUCGCAGAAUAAGCACCGGCUAACUCUGUGCCAGCAGCCGCGGUAAUACAGAGGGUGCGAGCGUUAAUCGGAUUUACUGGGCGUAAAGCGUGCGUAGGCGGCUUCUUAAGUCGGAUGUGAAAUCCCUGAGCUUAACUUAGGAAUUGCAUUCGAUACUGGGAAGCUAGAGUAUGGGAGAGGAUGGUAGAAUUCCAGGUGUAGCGGUGAAAUGCGUAGAGAUCUGGAGGAAUACCGAUGGCGAAGGCAGCCAUCUGGCCUAAUACUGACGCUGAGGUACGAAAGCAUGGGGAGCAAACAGGAUUAGAUACCCUGGUAGUCCAUGCCGUAAACGAUGUCUACUAGCCGUUGGGGCCUUUGAGGCUUUAGUGGCGCAGCU
rnacentral:rRNA from 1 species